GACGAACGCUGGCGGCGUGCCUAAUACAUGCAAGUAGAACGCACAGUUUAUACCGUAGCUUGCUACACCAUAGACUGUGAGUUGCGAACGGGUGAGUAACGCGUAGGUAACCUGCCUGGUAGCGGGGGAUAACUAUUGGAAACGAUAGCUAAUACCGCAUAAUAUUGAUUAUUGCAUGAUAAUUAAUUGAAAGGUGCAAUUGCACCACUACCAGAUGGACCUGCGUUGUAUUAGCUAGUAGGUGAGGUAACGGCUCACCUAGGCGACGAUACAUAGCCGACCUGAGAGGGUGAUCGGCCACACUGGGACUGGGACACGGCCCAGACUCCUACGGGAGGCAGCAGUAGGGAAUCUUCGGCAAUGGACGAAAGGCUGACCGAGCAACGGCGCGUGAGUGAAGAAGGUUUUCGGAUCGUAAAGCUCUGUUGUAAGGGAAGAACGGGUGUGAGAGUGGAAAGUUCACACUGUGACGGUAUCUGACCAGAAAGGGACGGCUAACUACGUG
rnacentral:rRNA from 1 species